CCUCAUCACGUGCCACCGACCCUGGGCUCUGUGACUUCCAAAGACUCGCCACCCCAUUCCACAGCCUGAGGUGCCACCAAAGCCAUAAGCCCAGGGGAGUCUCUCACACCCCAUUCUCCUAGGGCCCAUGUACCCCACGCCCACCUCCACCCCAGGAGCCGAAGGCCGGCAGGGAGCCUGGAGAGCCUCCUUGAUGGGAGAACUGCGGAGCUUGCCCCUCGGAAAAGUGCAUGGGGUGGAGAACAGGGAAGGAGAAAAAAACAACAACUGGGUACUCGCAGCCCCACCGCGGUGUCCGCUUCGCCGGUGGGAGAGGAUCCUCGCCGCCCUGAAUCCUUGAAAUCCUUGCCGAGCAUCUGCUCUGUACAGGCCGUGUACUAAGUGCUAGAGAGAUGGUGUGGGGUAGAUAAUGGCUUCCAGAGAUGUUCACGUCCUGAUCCACAGAUCCUAUAUGUGAGUGGAAAAAAGCCACAAAUUGAAAAUGUUUUUUAUCUGCUCUCACAUCACAACAAUCAACACAGAAGACUUCUGUGCCCACAUAUGUGAGGAUUUCUCUCACCAGCAAACAAGCAAUCAGUUCUGCAGUGGACACCAGCUGGGUGUCCUCCGAUUCAGUUCUGACACUCUCUACCUAAAGACCGCGUCCGAUCCCAGAGGUUGAGGGCUCUGGGUGUCCUCCGAUUCAGUUCUGACACUCUCUACCUAAAGACCGCGUCAGAUCCCAGAGGUUGAGGGCUCAGUCUCACAAGACUGCCCCCCGACUUCCGCCGCCAACCGCAAGCCCCUGGUUGUUUUACCUGUGCUUCUGACCAAGCAGGACAUCAUGACCUCCAGUGUGCAUUCAACCUAACAGAGCUGCUAAACUCAUUGCCUUUCUGCUCUGCCUCUCCUCUCUCCUGCAACACCCUCUCUGUCUCAUAAAUAUAGUCACAAUUUUCUCAUGGUUUAAGCCAAGAAACAGUUAAAAACUCUAAAGUCUUUUAUCCAAUGCAUUAAAAAACUGAGAUACUAAAUUAGAUAAGUUGUUAUCCGGUAGAACUCACGAAAGAAUCAAAUGUUCUCGACAAAAUUUAGAACAAAAUUUGACCCUGGAAAAUGGAGGUGAUAGAAAUAAAGUCCACAAAAGGAAACUUGCCACGGCAGCAGCUAUCAUUGGUGAAAGUUGAUAUUGACAAAAAUCGAUCUAUGAACCACAGUUCUGAUAUAAAAUUCAAAUGAAAAAGAAUUGGUCCCAAUGAAAAUAAUUUCAGUCCAUUGGAAAUGAAAAAGUGGAAAAAUUGGAAAUAGUUUAACCGAGCUUUUUACAGAAUUGAUCAAGGAAUUAAAUUGACUUAAUGGAGUCCAUUCUGGAAAACCCUUUCCCAAGAAAAAUUCAUCAGUCAGAGAACUUCUGAGUUACAUAUUUGUAUUAAAAAUAUCUCCAUAGGCUGGGUGCAGUGGCUCAUGCAUGUAAUCCCAGCACUUUGGGAGGCCGAGGCAGGCGAAUCACUUGAGGUCAGGAGUUCGAGACCAGCCUGGCCAACAUGGUGGCAGACGCCUGUAAUCUCAGCUAUUUGCGAAGCAGGGGAAUCGCUUGAACCCAGAAGGUGGAGGUUGCAGUGAGCCGAGAUCACGCCACUGCACUCCAGCCUGGGUGAAAGAGCGAGACUCCGUGUCAACAACAACAAAAACAACAAUAUCUCCAUAGGUAUUUGGUAGUAAAAAUGAAAAAAAGAGAGAAAAAUGUCUCCAGUGGAUCCUCCAUGAGAUUUUCAUGAAGAACCCAGGAGUGCUGGUCUGUGGUGGGAGCUUCACCCGGGAGGAGUAGAGAGGGCUGGGAGAGGGUGAUGUCUGGUACCUUUGGGCCCCUCUCCAUAAAAAUGUAGAAAAAAUUAGAUUAUAUGACUGCAUAGAUAUACAGAUGAAUGCAAUUCAGGCUGGAUUCCUUAUUUUAGAUUCAUUGUUAUUAUGUUCUUUUAUUCUUCUGAUUUUAAAAUAAAUUAAAAUUAAACAUUUUAAGGGCCCCUAAGAAGUAUUGUGGGCCCUAGGCACUGUAGCUAACAGAUAAUUGGCCCUGGUGGGGUCUCAGGUCAAGGGGAAGC
rnacentral:lncRNA from 1 species